ACUAUGUUCUUUUCAACGAAUUUUAGCUGUGAGACCGGUUUGAGAGGUGUAGGAAAAGGAGGGGAAAGGAAUCUGAAUCUACUAACUUGUAUAUAAACAGCUUUACAGUUUCACACGUAACGAAUAGCGUUCGUUUCGUAAUUCAAUCAUUACCGAGAUUUUCAUCUGUUUUCCUUUCUUAUUCAAAAUUUGUCAACGAAUAUUUUCGGGAAACAAUUACGAUUGUUUAUUGCGCGAACGUCUUUUCUCGAUAUAUCACAUCACUAAAGAAUAAUUCUUUAUAACAGACUAAACAGUCGAAGAAAAGUUGAAAGUUUGGAAAAUCUAAAGGAAUGAUGAAGUGUUAUAAAGCGUUCAUAUCGUUUAUCGUUGCUAUAUGAAUCGUUUACAGUUUACGGACGAAGACUGGACAAGACUAAAUAAUCGAUCGACAGGGUAUCAUUCUACGCAUGGAAGUAAGCUGAAAACGUACAAUACAUUUUUCUAUUUAAGACUCUAUUUUCAAGAAAAUAGAGUUUGAACGCAAUUUAGUUAAGAAUCGGUCUAGUACGUAUGUAUGAUAAAUUUCAUGCUAUUACACGCUAUUAAAUUUAUCAUAUCAAAUAUUAAAUUACGUGCUAUUCGUUCGGGCCAUGCGUAUUUAAA